rnacentral:rRNA from 1 species
GACGAACGCUGGCGGCGUGCUUAACACAUGCAAGUCGAACGAUGAAGAAGAGAAACGCGAACUUCGGUUCAAAUUUCACUUCGGAUUAGUGGCAGACGGGUGAGUAACGCGUGAGCAACCUACCUCUUACAAAGGGAUAGCCUCGGGAAACCGUGAUUAAUACCAUAUGACACAUUCAUAAGGCAUCUUAAGAAUGUUAAAGCUACGGCGGUAAGAGAUGGGCUCGCGUCCCAUUAGCUAGUUGGUGAGGUAACGGCCCACCAAGGCGACGAUGGGUAACCGGCCUGAGAGGGUGAACGGUCACAUUGGAACUGAGACACGGUCCAAACUCCUACGGGAGGCAGCAGUGGGGAAUAUUGCACAAUGGAGGGAACUCUGAUGCAGCGAAGCCGCGUGAGCGAUGAAGGAAUUCGUUUCGUAAAGCUCUGUUCUAUGGGAAGAAAAGGACUGUACCAUAGGAGAAAGCCCCGGCUAAAUACGU